GCCCGAAUAGCUCAGCCGGUUAGAGCACUUGACUGUUAAUCAGGGGGUCGUUUGUUCGAGACCAACUUCGGGCGCCA
rnacentral:tRNA from 1 species